GCGAGAUGAAGAUACAAUUCAUUUGUUCUAUCGACCUACUGACAUUUCGAUUGAUGUUAAACUAUGGAUUCCGACAGGUUCUGAUCGC